rnacentral:misc_RNA from 1 species
GGUGAUAGUAUUCCAGGCAUUAAUUCCUCCAGGACAGUUGACAUGUUGUGGCAGUAUCAGAGUCUGGAGCUGAGUAAAGCCACGGAAGGUGUUGGCCAAGUCACCUUUGAGGGGGUUUGCUUGCAGGUCUAUGAUGACAGUGGUAUGUGCCUGAUGAAAGUUUGGACCAGGGUCCUCCAGAGAACAGUUCUGGAGAUCCAGCCCCAAGAUGGUGCCCUUCUGAUUCAGGCAGCAACGGGCAUGCAGCAUUAGCUCUCGUGUCGUUUUACAAUAAAAGGCCACUUUUGACAAAU